CAACCAAGGGAGGGGGGAAACCCCGGGAACUGGGGAUAAUACCCCAUAGACUAUGGAUGCUGGAAUGCUCUGUAGUUGAAAGGUCCGCCGCCAUAGGAUGGGUCUGCGGCCGAUUAGGUUGUUGUUGGGGUAACGGCCCAACAAGCCUGUAAUCGGUACGGGUUGUGGGAGCAAGAGCCCGGAGAUGGAUUCUGAGACACGAAUCCAGGCCCUACGGGGCGCAGCAGGCGCGAAAACUUUACAAUGCGGGAAACCGUGAUAAGGGAACUCCGAGUGCCCGUAAAAUCGGGCUGUCCAUCUGUUUAAAUAACAGGUGAAGAAAGGGCCGGGCAAGACCGGUGCCAGCCGCCGCGGUAAUACCGGCGGCUCGAGUGGUGGCCACUAUUACUGGGCUUAAAGCGUUCGUAGCUGGUUUGUUAAGUCUCUGGGGAAAUCUGCCGGCUCAACCGGCAGGCGUUCCAGGGAUACUGGCAGACUAGGGACCGGGAGAGGUGAGGGGUACUCCAGGGGUAGGAGUGAAAUCCUGUAAUCCUUGGGGGACCACCUGUGGCGAAGGCGCCUCACCAGAACGGCUCCGACAGUGAGGGACGAAAGCUGGGGGAGCAAACCGGAUUAGAUACCCGGGUAGUCCCAGCCGUAAACGAUGCGCGUUAGGUGUAUCGGUGACCACGAGUCACCGAGGUGCCGAAGAGAAAUCGUGAAACGUGCCGCCUGGGAAGUACGGUCGCAAGGCUGAAACUUAAAGGAAUUGGCGGGGGAGCAC
rnacentral:rRNA from 1 species